rnacentral:rRNA from 1 species
AACGAACGCUGGCGGCAUGCCUAACACAUGCAAGUCGAACGGGAUCCAGGCUUCGGCCUGGUGAGAGUGGCGGACGGGUGAGUAACACGUGGGAACCUGCCUUUUGGUUCGGGAUAACCGCGGGAAACUGCGGCUAAUACCGGAUGCUCCCGAGAGGGGAAAGAUUUAUCGCCAGAAGAGGGGCCCGCGUCCGAUUAGGUAGUUGGUGAGGUAAUGGCUCACCAAGCCGACGAUCGGUAGCUGGUCUGAGAGGAUGAUCAGCCACACUGGGACUGAGAUACGGCCCAGACUCCUACGGGAGGCAGCAGUGGGGAAUAUUGGACAAUGGGGGCAACCCUGAUCCAGCAAUGCCGCGUGAGUGAUGAAGGCCUUAGGGUUGUAAAGCUCUUUUGCCAGGGAAGAUGAUGACUGUACCUGGAGAAUAAGCCCCGGCUAAACUUCGUGCCAGCAGCCGCGGUAAU